AUCGACCAACAACUACUAGAUAUAGUAGUAGGUACCUAUAUUGAAAAUUGAUGAAGCUUCCAGAUAGAACUGGAACAUGGCGACUUCAAAUGGACUGUCAGAAAGAAGGUGUCUUCUCAAGUUACCAACCUUCAAAGCCAGCCAGCUGGUCAUCUUGAGGACCCACAAGCAGCAGAGGAAGGAGGUGACCUGCCAUCAAAGGAUACAGUUGGAAAAGAUGCAUCAAGGCAGCUGACCCCUUAACUGAGCAAUAACAAUGAGGAUGCAGAAGGAAAUGGAACGACUGGGCAGAUCUUCAAAUUGAAUUUUACCCGCUAAAAAGCAGCACGUUAGAACUAUCGUCGUGGAUCGUUUAAUUCCUGCUAUGAUAGGGUCCGUGAGAAAGAUCAUACUCAUUUCUUCACCCAUAAAAUUACAAAGGAAUGAAGACUACAUUCCUCCAGAAGUUGUUCGAAGAUAAGUGUUUUAUAGGAACAUUCAUACAACACUACGGAGUAAGUAGAAAAGGCAAAGGUACAAAAGAUGCAGAGAAACUCCAGGCGCCUUGCAAAAAGCUGCAGAACACCAGCAAAGAGAAAAGACGGCAAAGAAAACACGCAGGACUCUAAUUGAAGACAUCAAGGAACGUAAUCUGAUAAACAGCAAACUGGAAGCUCAGUGAGAGUCUUACAAAGAUGCUUGAAGACUCAGGCUACAGCAACAAGAGGUUUGGAUCAACGGAAGGUUCUAAAGGUCCUUGGCUCUUCAAAUCAUCAGUCCUCAAGGGCUCAGGAUCACCACUCAUCCUCAAGCUCAGAGAUGAGCCACAAGAGACGAGAUGCAGCAUCUUACUUUUCUAGCUGUAGGAGUUAUAAAGGGUCCGUGAGAAAGAUCAUACUCAUUUCUUCACCCAUAAAAUUACAAAGGAAUGAAGACUACAUUCUUCCAGAAGUUGUUCGAAGAUAAGUGUUUUAUAGGAACAUUCAUACAACACUACGGAGGAAGUAGAAAAGGCAAAGGUACAGAAAGAUGCAGAGAAACUCCAGGCGCCUUGCAAAAAGCUGCAGAACACCAAGCAAAGAGAAAAGAUGGCAAAGAAAACACGCAGGACUCUAAUUAAAGACAUCAAGGAACGUAAUCUGAUAGACAGCAAACUGGAAGCUCAGUGAGAGUCUUACAAAGAUGCCGUUAACGUCGUCAGCUGCAGUGGAGUCAUGAAGAUACUAUGUGCAACUAGAAUAUGAGUCGCAGAUAUAACUUUACAUAUAGUAUUGAAUUUUCUUUAUAUUAGGAUUACUUUAUAUCCCAGAGGAAUUCAAAUUUGAUAGGUGGGCUGACCCAACCAGGGUUGGUACCUAUUCCUUUUUGCUUUAGAUAAAGUGACAAACAAUUGUGGUGAGUUGACCAUCUUUAAAAGGCACAAGUUCAAAGCCUUACAGGAUUAAUUAAUUAGCGUUCUGUCACUGUUUUGAAACCAAAUCUCACUGGGUUGAAACUGGGCCAGGACAGGUGCACUUAUCAAUUAUAAUUCUCCUUCAGCAUAUGUCAUUCCCAGAGUAAAAUGAAUCUAAUAUUAAAUGAUUAUGGUUUAAUAUCUGUUAGUAUAAGAAAUUCAUGCUUAUAUACUGCCAGUGUUUGACUCUGACUUGUGAAUUAACCAACAUACGGGUUCUCCGAGAUAUGAGCCGGCACACAAGUGAUUCUUUGUUUUAAGAAAGUGAGCCCAGAUUUGACUACGGGCCAGCAAGCCUGGGAGAUGCCACCUCUCAAUGCGUCCGCCAUUGCCAGCACUGAGAUGCCUAGCCGAGCAGUCUCGUUCAGUUCGUAGUGUUAAGACCAGUGCCAAGAAGAAGAAAAGGCCAAUUACUUUGGACAUGAAGCGUGAAGUCAUAGAAAAACAAAAAAGACCGGUGUUUUUUGGGGGGUCCUGGAAUGGAUAGUAGUAUUUCCAUUUAUUUUAAUGGGGAAUUUGAUUUUAUUUAUGAGCAAAUUGUAUGUUAUGGUACUCAGUAAAGCUGAAUACAUUUUUUAUGUUAUUUAUGAAAUUUUGUAAACAAUUGAAAUUUUUUUUAAUGAACUUGUAGAUUUUGUACAUUCAACUUCCCUGUCAGAUAUAUACUUAGCUUUAGAGCUCAGUCGUU